rnacentral:rRNA from 1 species
GACGUAGGGCGCGAGCGUUGUCCGGAUUUAUUGGGCGUAAAGCGCACGCAGGUGGCUGAGUCAGUCGAUUGUGAAAGCCCUGGGCUUAACCUGGGAAUUGCAGUCGAUACUACUCGGCUCGAGUAUGGGAGAGGGCAGUGGAAUUCCCGGUGUAGCGGUGAAAUGCGUAGAUAUCGGGAGGAACAUCAGUGGCGAAGGCGGCUGCCUGGCCCAAUACUGACACUCAGGUGCGACAGCGUGGGGAGCAAACAGG